rnacentral:rRNA from 1 species
AGAUUGAACGCUGGCGGCAUGCCUAACACAUGCAAGUCGAACGGGAGUAGCAAUACUCUAGUGGCGGACGGGUGAGGAAUACGUAGGAAUUUGCCCUUAAGUGGGGGAUAACCCGGGGAAACCCGGAUUAAUACCGCAUGACCUCGAAAGAGCAAAGUGGGGGAUCGCAAGACCUCACGCUUUUGGAGAAGCCUACGUCGGAUUAGCUAGUUGGUGAGGUAAUGGCUCACCAAGGCGACGAUCCGUAACUGGUCUGAGAGGAUGAUCAGUCACACCGGAACUGAGACACGGUCCGGACUCCCGACGGGAGGCAGCAGUGGGGAAUAGUUGGACAAUGGGCGCAAGGCCUGAUCCAGCAAGUGCCGCGUGUGUGAAGAAGGCCUUCGGGUUGUAAAGCACGUUUAAGGUUAGGAAAGAAAAACGUCGACUACUAAC